rnacentral:rRNA from 1 species
CCCAGACUCCUACGGGAGGCAGCAGUGGGGAAUAUUGCACAAUGGGGGAAACCCUGAUGCAGCGACGCCGCGUGAGUGAAGAAGUAUUUCGGUAUGUAAAGCUCUAUCAGCAGGGAAGAAAAAAGACGGUACCUGACUAAGAAGCCCCGGCUAACUACGUGCCAGCAGCCGCGGUAAUACGUAGGGGGCAAGCGUUAUCCGGAAUUACUGGGUGUAAAGGGUGCGUAGGUGGCAUGGUAAGUCAGAAGUGAAAGCCCGGGGCUUAACCCCGGGACUGCUUUUGAAACUGUCAUGCUGGAGUGCAGGAGAGGUAAGCGGAAUUCCUAGUGUAGCGGUGAAAUGCGUAGAUAUUAGGAGGAACACCAGUGGCGAAGGCGGCUUACUGGACUGUCACUGACACUGAUGCACGAAAGCGUGGGGAGCAAACAGGAUUAGAUACCCUGGUA